AACGUAGGACGCGAGCGUUAUCCGGAGUUACUGGGCGUAAAGGGCGGGCAGGCGGCCGUGCAAGAUGGGUGUGAAAUCUCCCGGCUCAACCGGGAGGGGCCACUCGUGACUGCGCGGCUGGAGGGCAGCAGAGGCGCGUGGAAUUCCGGGUGGAGUGGUGAAAUGCGUAGAGAUCCGGAGGAACACCAGAGGCGAAGGCGGCGCGCUGGGCUGCAUCUGACGCUGAACCGCGAAAGCCAGGGUAGCGAACGGG
rnacentral:rRNA from 1 species